AGAAGCUUCCUGUGACGGCAAACCCAGUUCAUCCACAGGUAAGACCUCCUCCCUGAGCCAGCCCAAGAGGAAUGUCCUAACCAAAAGUGAGGCCUUACCGUUGGCAAAGAGGAAGAAGAUGGAUACGACGGUGUCAUUCGGCUCUGCUCGGGUCUCAACAACCUCA